AUUCCGGGAUGUGUUGAGUCUGAGUGUGCUUUCCAUUGGCUAUUCGUCGUUUCUUAAGUAAUAAUCAUCUUCUCUCUGAAGUGCUCCAACUGAAUAUCAUUGAGUCAGUGUGGGCUUCGUGUUUAACAGUGAAGGGACAAGCCAAGUUGAAUAUAACUCAUCCCAUAGGUUCACAGGAGGAGAGGGCAAACCCUGGAUGACAAAGAGUUGCAUCAGCAAUUACUGAGCGACAUGACUCCAAGAGAGGUCUUGGUGCACUGCAGACUAACACGUACUAGUUCUCCAUGAUCAGAUGAGGAUCAACAAUGUGCUGUCAGGACACAUUAAUGAGCAUGGAUGCAGAAUAAAUUUUUCAAAGAACAAAUGGCUCAAGGUUGAAAACACUGUCGCAGUCUUCCUUUCCUCUCCUCCGUUCUUUCCACGCUCCCACAGUUUUCACAGGCUCCCUGGAUGACUCACAUGCGGCCCUCUGCACCACCUCUGCCCUCCCCCGUAACUCCUAAAGAGAGAUACCCAGAACCUCAAACUACAGACAGAUGGCAUGCAGGAAAUGGACUGAGAUGAAGCUCAAACCGCCAGUCUCCAGACUCCCUUUUUCCUCUGUGGGCUGAACCCAUAAGCUCUGAACACACUACAGAGACUACAAAUCAGCAAGAAACAAGAUGACUGAACUGCAUUGCAAGACGAGGUGAAGAUGCAUGAAAAAUCUGCAGAGAAUGUGGUUUAUUACACUGAACUAAUAGGUUUUGCUCUAUGGCUGCAAUUAAAAAAGUUAUGAAGCAAAAUGUCAGUAAUAUUAGUUGUAAAUGCCCUGGA